rnacentral:tRNA from 1 species
AUUUUAAUUGACAUAGACCAAGUCAUCUAGUAAAAUGAGGAUGAUGCAUCGGGAAUAGCCGGGAUAGCUCAGCUGGUAGAGCAGAGGACUGAAAAUCCUCGUGUCACCAGUUCAAA